rnacentral:rRNA from 1 species
UACAGAGGUCUCAAACGUUGUUCGGAAUUACUGGGCGUAAAGCGUGUGUAGGCGGCCGCGUAAGUCGGAUGUGAAAGCCCUGGGCUCAACCCAGGAAGUGCACUCGAUACUGCGUGGCUUGAGUACUGGAGAGGUUGGUGGAAUUCUCGGUGUAGAGGUGAAAUUCGUAGAUAUCGAGAGGAACACCGGUGGCGAAGGCGGCCAACUGGACAGAUACUGACGCUGAGACACGAAAGCGUGGGGAGCAAACAGG